rnacentral:rRNA from 1 species
CAAAGGUAGCGUAAUCAUUUGUCUAUUAAUUGUAGACCAGUAUGAAAGGCAAAAUGAGGGUCUGUCUGUCUCUUAUAAUAAAUCAAUUAAACUGAUCUCCUAGUAAAAAAGCUAGAAUUCCAACAUAAGACCAGAAGACCCUGUGAAGCUUAAAUUAAACUAUUAAACCAUAUGAUACCUACUUUCGGUUGGGGCGACCUUGGAAAAAAAAAGAACUUCCAAAUAAAUGACCAUAAAUCACACACACAGGCCUACUAGCCUCAAAAUUUUGACCCAGCAUGACUGACAAUUGAACUAAGUUACUCCAGGGAUAACAGCGCCAUCUUCUUCAAGAGUCCAUAUCAAAAAGAAGGUUUACGACCUCGAUGUUGGAU